UUUUUUGCACCUCAUCAGGACGUAAUGGCCCA
rnacentral:sRNA from 1 species